rnacentral:rRNA from 1 species
AGGGAGCUUGCUCCGCUGACGAGUGGCGAACGGGUGAGUAAUAUAUCGGAACGUACCCAAGAGUGGGGGAUAACGUAGCGAAAGUUACGCUAAUACCGCAUACGAUCUAAGGAUGAAAGCAGGGGACCUUCGGGCCUUGUGCUCCUGGAGCGGCCGAUAUCUGAUUAGCUAGUUGGUGAGGUAAAGGCUCACCAAGGCGACGAUCAGUAGCUGGUCUGAGAGGACGACCAGCCACACUGGAACUGAGACACGGUCCAGACUCCUACGGGAGGCAGCAGUGGGGAAUUUUGGACAAUGGGCGCAAGCCUGAUCCAGCAAUGCCGCGUGAGUGAAGAAGGCCUUCGGGUUGUAAAGCUCUUUUGUCAGGGAAGAAACGGCUGUGGCUAAUAUCCACGGCUAAUGACGGUACCUGAAGAAUAAGCACCGGCUAACUACGUGCCAGCAGCCGCGGUAAUACGUAGGGUGCAAGCGUUAAUCGGAAUUACUGGGCGUAAAGCGUGCGCAGGCGGUUUUGUAAGUCUGUCGUGAAAUCCCCGGGCUCAACCUGGGAAUUGCGAUGGAGACUGCAAGGCUAGAAUCUGGCAGAGGGGGGUAGAAUUCCACGUGUAGCAGUGAAAUGCGUAGAGAUGUGGAGGAACACCGAUGGCGAAGGCAGCCCCCUGGGUCAAGAUUGACGCUCAUGCACGAAAGCGUGGGGAGCAAACAGGAUUAGAUACCCUGGUAGUCCACGCCCUAAACGAUGUCUACUAGUUGUCGGGUUUUAAUUAACUUGGUAACGCAGCUAACGCGUGAAGUAGACCGCCUGGGGAGUACGGUCGCAAGAUUAAAACUCAAAGGAAUUGACGGGGAACCCGCACAAGCGGUGG